UCCGCUGAUGACCAAGAUUAAACAAACAAACUAGAGUUUCUGAAAUCUAAUGAUUAGAAAACUAAUCAGUUGUACUGAGG
rnacentral:snoRNA from 1 species